ACGUAGCCGGCCCAGAGCCACCAGCCUCCUUCCUGUGCAUGCUCCUGACCCAAGCUGGACACUCUGGCUCAGAUCCAAGGACGCAAGAGACUGAUUCAGGAAUGCUCUGGAUUGGGGACAACAGGCACAGAGGAGGAAGAGUGGCAUGAAGAACGGAACAGAGUGUGUAUCCUAUCUGGAAUAUACUGUUGAGCAGUCAGUAUGAAGAAUUGGUGCCAAGGUGAGAAUAAUGAAAUCUAAACCAAGAUGGAA